rnacentral:rRNA from 1 species
UACGAAGGGAGCUAGCGUUGUUCGGAAUCACUGGGCGUAAAGCGCACGUAGGCGGAUUUGUCAGUCAGGGGUGAAAUCCCGGGGCUCAACCUCGGAACUGCCUUUGAUACAGCAAGUCUUGAGUUCGAGAGAGGUGGGUGGAAUUCCUAGUGUAGAGGUGAAAUUCGUAGAUAUUAGGAAGAACACCGGUGGCGAAGGCGGCCCACUGGCUCGAUACUGACGCUGAGGUGCGAAAGCGUGGGGAGCAAACAGGG